UUCAGUUUCAGCAUGACAGCGGACGCGCCACUGGAUAACCGCACGCGCACACUGCACUGAAAGCAGGUUGAAUUCCCGUGGCGUGAUUGUGACCCUGCAGCAUUGUGAGGGAGGGUGCGCAGGCAGCAUGUCAUUCGACCCCCUCACCCUCAGGUCAUGGACCUCACUAUUUUUCACACCCUGGCUACAGCUUUGCUCCCAGUCACCUCACGCCGCAUCAGGAACAUUCCUUUCGGAGAGCGGUUCACAAGAUGAUCUCCAUGGAAACGAAAACUGUGACAAACAACCAGAAUAAUACAGCAAGACUGCUGGACUGAGCCUUUUCUCUCCGCAGUCACUUUGGAGGAGGCCACACUUACAGGGACGGACAAAGCUAGGAUAGACCAAGUUCUCCAGCCAUUUCGUCUUCCUGUUGCGUCCCAGAAAGGGUCAUUCAGAAGGCUGAUCAAAUGUUUUUUGUUUAAAAAUAGAUCCACAUAUGUAACUGCUGGAUUUCAUUUCAUGAGUGUGUCUUGAUGGAUCCUUUAUAGGAAUUCACCUCGGAUAUGACUUAUUGUAGCUAAUGGUACUGUGAAGACCAUAUAUUCUAGGAGGGAAAAAAUGUAGCUGUACAACGUUGUAAUUCUUAUGAAAGCAACUGUACUGUACUUCACAAAUAUAUCCAUUAAUGUGACUGUACGGAUUACAACAAUGAGUGACCAGCCUCAAUGGA